GAUGAACGCUGGCGGCGUGCCUAAUACAUGCAAGUCGAGCGAACGGACGAGAAGCUUGCUUCUCUGAUGUUAGCGGCGGACGGGCGAGUAACACGUGGAUAACCUACCUAUAAGACUGGGAUAACUUCGGGAAACCGGAGCUAAUACCGGAUAAUAUUUUGAACCGCAUGGUUCAAAAGUGAAAGACGGUCUUGCUGUCACUUAUAGAUGGAUCCGCGCUGCAUUAGCUAGUUGGUAAGGUAACGGCUUACCGAGGCAACGAUGCAUAGCCGACCUGAGAGGGUGAUCGGCCACACUGGAACUGAGACACGGUCCAGACUCCUACGGGAGGCAAGAGUAGGGAAUCUUCCGCAAUGGGCGAAAGCCUGACGGAGCAACGCCGCGUGAGUGAUGAAGGUCUUCGGAUCGUAAAACUCUGUUAUUAGGGAAGAACAUAUGUGUAAGUAACUGUGCACAUCUUGACGGUACCUAAUCAGAAAGCCACGGCUAACUACGUG
rnacentral:rRNA from 1 species